rnacentral:tRNA from 1 species
GGGUUGCUAACUCAAUGGCAGAGUACUCGAUCCGAUGAGCUCCGGGUUCAAGUCCCGGGCAACCCA